rnacentral:rRNA from 1 species
UACGUAGGUGGCAAGCGUUGUCCGGAAUUACUGGGUGUAAAGCGCGUGUAGGCGGGAGGCCAAGUCUGCUGUGAAAUCGCCCGGCUCAACUGGGCGGGGUCGGUGGAAACUGGUCACCUGGAGGACGGUAGAGGCGAGUGGAAUUCCCGGUGUAGUGGUGAAAUGCGUAGAGAUCGGGAGGAACACCAGUGGCGAAGGCGGCUCGCUGGGCCGGCCCUGACGCUGAGACGCGAAGGCGUGGGGAGCGAACGGGG